rnacentral:lncRNA from 12 species
AUGAGAAGGCAGUUGUUUCACAGAGCUCUGUGGGAACCUUCAUCAAGGCUGCUCCAUCUUAGAGCCUACUUCCUGCUCCCUGGCAGGCUGUUCUUCAGAGCCUCACCAUCACUGACAAAGGGGCUGGGCCCAGGGGCUCUGAGCUCCAAUUCCAGCCCCACUGAGACUCUGAAACUCCAAGAGUUGUGAUUGCUUUUGUACAACAUUCUACAGACACUAGAACUAAGCCAGAUAAUGAAGAAAGAAUGUAAUUGUUGGGAGUUAGGUCAACUUUAAUUCCAGGCCACUGAGAACUUGCACAACCAUGAGCACACUGCUCAACCUCUCUGUGCUUUUCCCUCAACUAUACAAUAAAGACUGUGAUAUGUCCA